CCUACGGGAGGCAGCAGUGAGGAAUAUUGGUCAAUGGGCGCAAGCCUGAACCAGCGACGCCGCGUGCGGGAUGAAGGGGCUUUGCCUCGUAAACCGCUGUCGGAUGGGACGAAAGGUGGCUUUAAGCCACUGGGACGGUACCAUCAAAGGAAGGAUCGGCUAACUACGUGCCAGCAGCCGCGGUAAUACGGAGGAUGCAAGCGUUAUCCGGAUUUAUUGGGUUUAAAGGGUGCGUAGGCGGUUGGAUAAGUCAGCGGUGAAAGUUUUCUGCUUAACAGGAAAAAUGCCGUUGAUACUGUCUGGCUAGAAUAUGGUUGCUGUGAGUGGAAUGGAUGGUGUAGCGGUGAAAUGCAUAGAUAUCAUCCAGAACGUCAAUUGCGAAGGCAGCUGGCUGUACUUUUUCUGACACUGAGGCACGAAAGUGUGGGGAUCAAACAGGAUUAGAUACCCUGGUAGUCCACACUGUAAACGAUGCGAACUAGCUUUUUGGCUUUAGAGUUGAGAGGCUAAGGGAAACCGAUAAGUUCGCCACCUGGGGAGUACGCCGGCAACGGUGAAACUCAAAGGAAUUGACGG
rnacentral:rRNA from 1 species